AGAAGAUUCUGAUGCAUCCAAAGGGCAUAAUGCUGUGGUCUAAGAAAACCUUGUCAGUUUUUCAUCAAAGAUGCAAAGAAGACAUUGUGUACUUUGAUGCCACUGGAAGUAUAAUAAGAAAAGAAAGUGCUGGAAGGCCACCAUAUUAUGUGUAUGAGUUGGUUGUCAGAAACCCAUCCAAAGGUGCUUCUCCUCUUCCAGUUGCUACAUAUGUCACAUGUGACCACACUACUGCCUCUGUGACAUACUUCUUGCAGGCCUUUCAGACUGAUCUGGUAAGAGCAUUUGGUAAUCGGGCCUACAACAGGCCUGUCAUGUUCAUGUGUGAUGGAUCCCUAGUACUCCUUCGAUCCAUUUCCAUGACAUUCUGCAGAACAAGUCUAGAGGAUCUGCUGCAGAAGUACUAUGUCUUACUCACUGGCCAGCAUUCAGCACAGCAAUUCAACAUUCCCAUUCUUCAUCGAUGUUUGAGCCAUGUCAUGAAAAAUGCCAAGGACCUUUGUAAAAAACACAUUCCAGAGAACUACAGGCUUGGAAUGCAUGUGUUUGGGCUCCUUGCGUGCUGUGAUAACUUAAAAGACAUGGAUGAUGUUGUCCAUAGUGCAGCAAUAGUGUUUUGCAGUCCUUGUAGUGGAAGGAACGUAACAAAACACUACAACAACUUGAAAAUCCUUAUGCAAAAAAGGGGACCCUGGAUUUGGAUGAAAAGACUGUGAUUGCUGAGGACUACAAGGUUAGCUAAGAUUUAUUAUUUAAGUAAUCUUAUUAAUAACUUUUUUACUUGUGUAUGUCCCAAAUGAAUUAAUGAAUUUAAAUUAUUAAAAAUAUAUAUAUAUUUUAAACCACAAUAACAUUAUAUAUAAUUAAUUUCUCUUUGCUUUGAUAACUUACUGAAUAUAGAUAUAUAUCUGUUUUACAGACUGAUGUUCAGAAUGCCCCCUUGAAGACCCAUUUCCAGGCAAUUGUUGACAAUGCAACACUGGACUGUGAGGGUGAAAGAAACAUCUUUCAUGCACCCAAAUUUAUUGCCGGUCUGGUAAAUCACCUUCUACCACAUGCAACUUUGUGGUCAUCAAUGAUGCUCGGUACAUUUUUUUAUUUGUUGUAUUACUAUCAUAAAUUGUCAUUUAUUAAUAAAUGUAAAUGUGAUAAAUGUUGAAUUAUCUAUUUUAAUUAUGUUUUUGAAUUACUUGUAUUCUUCUUAGGGGAUCUUGGACGUCAUGGUACUGGUCCUGCUUACCAGCAGCUCAGUAAACUCUAUAGUGACAUUCAGCAAUCCAAGAACCAGAAUUUUACACAAGACAACAGAACCCAAGGAAUCAUGGAGAAAAGCCAGUGGGAUUUGAAAAAA
ensembl:lncRNA